GACGAACGCUGGCGGCGUGCUUAACACAUGCAAGUCGAACGGAAAGGCCCUGCUUUUGUGGGGUGCUCGAGUGGCGAACGGGUGAGUAACACGUGAGUAACCUGCCCUUGACUUUGGGAUAACUUCAGGAAACUGGGGCUAAUACCGGAUAGGAGCUCCUGCUGCAUGGUGGGGGUUGGAAAGUUUCGGCGGUUGGGGAUGGACUCGCGGCUUAUCAGCUUGUUGGUGGGGUAGUGGCUUACCAAGGCUUUGACGGGUAGCCGGCCUGAGAGGGUGACCGGCCACCUUGGGACUGGGAUACCGCCCAGACUCCUACGGGAGGCAGCAGUGGGGAAUAUUGCACAAUGGGCGGAAGCCUGGUGCAGCAACCCCGCGUGCGGGAUGACGGCCUUCGGGUUGGAAACCGCUUUCGCCUGUGACGAAGCGUGAGUGACGGUAAUGGGUAAAGAAGCACCGGCUAACUACGUG
rnacentral:rRNA from 1 species